rnacentral:siRNA from 1 species
GAGCUUGGGAACCUUCACAGCA